UAAUGCGCGCCUGGAGUGAUAGGACUAUUUUGUUUAUUUUUAGAAUUUGGUAUUUUGAUAUUCAAUAAGUAAUUUCAAGAUAUUAUUUUAAAUUCUAAUUUAUACAACUUCAUGGAAAACUAUUGGAUUUAGAUUAGGCUUUAUGGUAUUUAUGUAAGAGGAUUAACUUGUGAGAUUAAAAGCUUCCGCCUUUGUCAUUUACUGCAAGAUCGCGGACGAAGCUUUAUGGGUGUCGGCGUAAGUUCAAUGAUUGGACUCCAAUCCAAUUGGAGUGUAUUCUGCUAACUUCUGGCUGUUGACGUUAUAGUUUUGCAUCUGAUUUUUUAUUAAAUUGUGUUCGUUAAUUGGAUAAACAACAGUUCCACUGGUUUAGCAAACUGUAUAAAAAUUUAUGGACAUUUUCUGUCGGAAAGAUUUUUACUUUAGACCUGCACAUUUGAUUUUGAGUCCAUACUUUAAAAAAAAAAAACGUUUUUCGUGUAGCCUGCCAUCGUUGUCACACAUCGUUGUCGGCUACCAAUAGAUCUUGAUUUAAUUGAUCACUGCAAGGCCUGAUGGUAGAUAAGGACUGGACUUGGACCUGACAGAGCCAAAAUGAGCUUUAGCAGUGAUGAGGUCAACUUCCUUGUCUAUCGUUAUUUACAGGAAUCAGGUUUCCUCCAUUCUGCAUACACUUUUGGGAUAGAGAGUCAUAUUAGUCAGUCAAACAUUAAUGGGGCAUUGGUGCCGCCGGCAGCAUUGUUGAACAUAAUACAGAAAGGAUUACAAUAUACAGAGUCUGAAAUCAGCAUAGGAGAGGUGAGUGCUUUGGUCACUUCUAAAUGUAUUGUUAAUUGAUGGUGUGUGGAACCUCUCCUCAAAGCAGCUGGCCCAUUGGCGCAUGUUGGUCAACUUCUAACCUCAUUGUUGAAUUAGGCACCCAAUACUGGCUAAAAACAAGCAUAUACACACUACUUAGGAUUUCAGCUUGUUCUAACCAACUGUUGUGGAGUUGAUUGCUAAAUAUUAUGAAUAUCAUGACAACAUUAUUAUGUUGACAAAGCUUAUGUUAACUUACUUCAUCCAUCUGUCUGUCUGUCUGUCUGUCAGGAUUCUUUUAUACAUUU
rnacentral:sRNA from 1 species